CGCAGCUUGCACAGAAGGUAUGGGAAUGGCAUUACUGCUUUAUUCUUUGCCUUGGUCUACACAGGAAUAAAGCAAAGAAGAAACUGGUGCCUAAGGUCACACUGAUAAUAGAUGAAGUGAUGGAGCAAGGAUUCAACCGCCAGCAGUUCGGUUCCUCAGCCUACUCCACUAAUUUCCAAAGUUACUCAGAUCAGCACUUUCCUCGCUCCUCUUUCAGGUUUCAUUCUACUCCAUGGCUUAGAAAGGGGCAUAUCUCCUGGCACACUGGACUGGGCUGCCUCCCUUGCUGCUAUUCCCUGUCAAAGUCCCCGUGAUGGAUGCACAGUGAUGCUCAUGGUGAAGCUUAUACCAGGAUGUGGG
rnacentral:lncRNA from 10 species